rnacentral:rRNA from 1 species
UACCAAGUCUCCGAGCGAUAUUCACAAUAACUGGGCCUAAAGAGUGCGUAGGUGGCUAUAUCUGUCCUCUGUUAAAGAUCACGAUCCAACCGUGGAGGUGCGAUUGAUACUGUAUAACUUGAGAGCAGAAAAAAGAAGAGGAAUUCUCGGAGUAACGGUAGAAUGCCUAUAUCUCCAGAGGAACACCGAUUGCGAAAGGAUGUUCUUGGUCUGUACCUGACACUCAGACGCAGAAAGCGUGGGUAGAAAACACCGAUUAUAAUACCCUGGUAGUCCACGCCGUAAACGAUGAUCACUAUAUGUGGGACGAGCUUGCUUGUUGACGUGUCGAACCUAACGCGUUAAGUGAUCCGGCUGGCUAGUACGGACGCAAGAUUAAAACUCAAAUGAAUUGACGGGGGUCCCCGCAAGGGGCGGCACAUGUGGUAUAAUUCGACAUUACGCGAGGAACCUUCCGUAGUCUCGCCAUAUAAGUCCAUCUGCUAGAAAUCGUAGCGUAUUUGUUUCUUAACACAGUUAGACAGGGGCCACAUGCCUGUCCUCAUCUCGUGUCGAGAGAUGUUGGGAUAACUCCCUUCGCGAGCGCAUCCCUUUCUGUUAGUUGCUCCCACUUAGAUGAGCGCUCUAUCAGGGCUCCCUGGGGGAUACAGGAGGAAGGGGGGGAGGACGUCACGUCCCCAUGGCCCUUGAAUCUAGGGCAACACACGCGAUACACGAGCGACAGAACCAAGAGCAGUGAGCUCGGGAGGGUAAACAAAUUUCCGAAAACUCGUCUAAGUUCGGAUUGGAGUUUGCAACUCGCCUUCAUGAACCUGAAAUCGCUAGUAAUCGCGCAUCAGAACGGCGCGGUGAAUACGUUCUCGGUCCU